rnacentral:rRNA from 1 species
AACGAACGCUGGCGGCAUGCCUAACACAUGCAAGUCGAACGAGAUCUUCGGGUCUAGUGGCGCACGGGUGCGUAACGCGUGGGAAUCUGCCCUUUGGUUCGGAAUAACAGUUGGAAACGACUGCUAAUACCGGAUGAUGACGAAAGUCCAAAGAUUUAUCGCCAGAGGAUGAGCCCGCGUAGGAUUAGCUAGUUGGUGUGGUAAAGGCGCACCAAGGCGACGAUCCUGAGCUGGUCUGAGAGGAUGAUCAGCCACACUGGGACUGAGACACGGCCCAGACUCAUACGGGAGGAAGCAGGGGGGAAUAUUGGACAAUGGGCGAAAGCCUGAUCCAGCAAUGCCGCGUGAGGGAUGAAGGCCUUAGGGUUGUAAAGCUCUUUUACCCGGGAUGAUAAUGACAGUACCGGGAGAAUAAGCUCCGGCUAACUCCGUGCCAGCAGCCGCCGUAA